rnacentral:rRNA from 1 species
UUGCGGUUAAAAAGCUCGUAGUUGGAGUUCUGCCAGGUGCCGCCUGUCCGCCCCAGUGGUGAGUACGUGGCGCGCAUUUGGCCCUUUCAAGGGGAGCGUAUCUGCACUUUAUUGUGUGGUGCGGGAUCCUUGACUUUUACUUUGAGGAAAUAGGAGUGUUCCAAGCAGGCUCUCGUCGUGCACAGCUCAGCAUGGAAUAAUAGCAUUGGACCUCGAUUCUAAGCUGUUGGUUGCCAGAAGCGAGGUAAUGAUGAAGAGGGAUAGUUGGGGGCAUUCGUAUUUAACUGUCAGAGGUGAAAU